UUCCCGCAUCCAACCAGAGAAUAAGCAAAUAUGAUUCUCAAUUGUACGGACAACAUUGUUGUGUCCUUUAGCCCUAGCAACUUCAAGAGGAGUUUGACAAUCAUCAUUCAAUACUAAUGCAUUUGCUCCAUGAGAAAGAAGUAACUCAACAGUUUUAUCAAGGCCUCUUUUUGCCGCAUGAUGUAACGGAGUCCCCCCAUUACGACCAGGCCGGUAAGCAUUAACAUUAGCACCGAGCUCUAUCAAAGUUUUAGCCACAUGGUGGAGCUCAGGAUUCAGGCACGCUAAUAUCAAUGGUGUUUUACCAUCUCUAUCAAUCCACUCCAGGCCUGCGCCUUCCCUGCAAAGAGCUUUGAUUCCUUCUGUGUUACCGUAAUUAACUUGCUGAAACAGCAACUCGUCUUUGGAUUGCUGUUGCCCCAUUUUCUCCCUUUUUUGCUUAACGAAAUUGAAAAAGUUGUGUUUGUAUAAAGGAAAAUGGAGUGGUGUUUUCGAGGAAAAUUCGAAGCUUAUAUUUUCCUGGAAAGUCGGAUGAUAGAUCUAUACAAAAUCUAGGCAAACCAAUUUGCGAUUGC
rnacentral:misc_RNA from 1 species